ensembl:lncRNA
CGGGAAACCGGCGUCGGCUGCGGGAUAUGCAGGGAAGCGGCUGGCGGGCUCCGGCAGGGGGCGCUGCACCGACGGCGGGGCGGGGCGCGCGCGCGUCGCGCUGAGGGGGCGCGCGCGCGUCGCGCUGAGGGGUCGCGCGCGCGGCCGCGCACGGACGGACGCGCGCGUGCACGCGCACCGAGCGCCGCGCCCAGACCCCGCACACCGCACACACAUCAAACACACCAAAAACACACAUCAAACACAUCAAACACAUCAAACACAUCAAACACACCCCACACACACCACACACACCCCCCACACACCAAACACACACCAAACACCGAACACACACACCAAACACACCAAAAACACCAAACACACAUCAAACACACACCCCAAACACACCACACACACCACACACACCCCAAACACACACACCAAACACCAAACACACACACCAAACACAGCCCCCACAUAUCAAACACACCACACACACACACCAAACACACCAAACACACCAAACACACAUCAAACACACCCCACACACACACACCAAACACACACCAAACACACAUCAAACACCCCAAACACACCCCACACACAUCAAACACACCACACACACCAAACACACAUCAAAUACACCCCAAACACACACACCCCAAACACACACACAUCAAACACACCCCUAAUACCAAACACACCAAACACACCACACACACCAAACACACACAUCAAACACACCUAACACACAUCAAACACACCCCAAACACCACACUCACCCCACACACACAUCAAACACCACACACACCCCCCGCACACACCAAACACCGCACACACACACACCAAACACCACACACAUGCUGCACAGACCCCGCACACAUGGACACCUCUGCACUCACACAUGCAUGGACACACAUGAGCACACACAUGUACUCACGCGCACACACCUUUAUUUAUGCACAGGGGUGCACACAAACGCAUGCAUUCCCGCACACGGGUACUUCUACAUGUAUGUACACGUGCACAC